UGCACUCUAUUGCGACUCAGUCGCGGAAUCACUUGUUCAGUCUAUCACCAGUAUCUAAAUCGAACCAAUGGAUCACAGACCGCCUCAUCAUCACCCCCAUUACCCUCAUCCUCCUCCCAACCACUAUCCUCAACACCCCCCACCUCCCCCGUGUGACAUUCAACACCAUCCAUAUCCCCCACAUCAGCACCCCUACCACCCUCCACCUCCCCCGUAUGAUCCCAACAACAAUCCAUAUCCCCAACACCAGCAUCCCUACCAACCCAUACAACCCCUACAAGACCAUCAUCAUUAUCCUCCACCUCCGUUACAGCGAUGAUAGAAGUCGAUACGAUUACGGAACAUCUUGCGAUUUAGAUAUAACGUUAUAUUUAACCUAAUCAAUAUCACUACCACUGCCUACAACAUUCCCCGCCCUUCCACUACCUACGAUGCCAUUUUUAUUUUGGUAUACUAAAAAAAAUGGCUAUCAAAUGCUGACUAAGCUAUUUGGAUACGACGAUAAUAUUUUUGUCAUUUAAAUAUAUGACACAACAUAGAUGACGCAGACACCGCCGUCAGCGUAGCCGAAAACCGCCAUGUGCUCAAAUAAGCCAAUCUAAGCCAGUGCUACA